GAUUCUGGCUCAGGAUGAACGCUAGCUACAGGCUUAACACAUGCAAGUCGAGGGGCAGCAUGAGAUUAGCUGCUAAUCUUGAUGGCGACCGGCGCACGGGUGAGUAACGCGUAUCCAACCUUCCCCUUAGUAGGGCAUAGCCCGGCGAAAGUCGGAUUAAUACCCUAUGUUCUUCGUAGAGGACAUCUGAAAUGAAGCAAAGAUUUAUCGCUAAGGGAUGGGGAUGCGUCUGAUUAGGUAGUCGGCGGGGUAACGGCCCACCGAGCCUGCGAUCAGUAGGGGUUCUGAGAGGAAGGUCCCCCACAUUGGAACUGAGACACGGUCCAAACUCCUACGGGAGGCAGCAGUGAGGAAUAUUGGUCAAUGGGCGCGAGCCUGAACCAGCCAAGUAGCGUGCAGGAUGACGGCCCUAUGGGUUGUAAACUGCUUUUAUGCGGGGAUAAAGUGCACCACGUGUGGUGUUUUGUAGGUACCGCAUGAAUAAGGACCGGCUAAUUCCGUGCCAGCCGCCGC
rnacentral:rRNA from 1 species